UUCAUGCAGUACAAAAUAUACUAAAAUUGAAACGAUACAGAAAAGAUUAGCAUGGCCCCUGCGAAGGAUGAUACGCAAGUUCGUGAAGCGUUCCAUAUUUUU